GUGCUCACUGCCACAGCACAUAUUCUAAAAUUAGAAUGAUACAGAGAAGAUCAGCAUGGCUCCUGCACAAGGAUGACACACAAAUUCAUGAAAUAUUCCUUAUUUUU
rnacentral:snRNA from 1 species